rnacentral:rRNA from 1 species
GACGAACGCUGGCGGCGUGCCUAAUACAUGCAAGUUGAGCGCUGAAGGUUGGUACUUGUACCAACUGGAUGAGCAGCGAACGGGUGAGUAACGCGUGGGGAAUCUGCCUUUGAGCGGGGGACAACAUUUGGAAACGAAUGCUAAUACCGCAUAAAAACUUUAAACACAAGUUUUAAGUUUGAAAGAUGCAAUUGCAUCACUCAAAGAUGUUCCCGCGUUGUAUUAGCUAGUUGGGGAGGUAAAGGCUCACCAAGGCGAUGAUACAUAGCCGACCUGAGAGGGUGAUCGGCCACAUUGGGACUGAGACACGGCCCAAACUCCUACGGGAGGCAGCAGUAGGGAAUCUUCGGCAAUGGACGAAAGUCUGACCGAGCAACGCCGCGUGAGUGAAGAAGGUUUUCGGAUCGUAAAACUCUGUUGGUAGAGAAGAACGUUGGUGAGAGUGGAAAGCUCAUCAAGUGACGGUAACUACCCAGAAAGGGACGGCUAACUACGUG